GGGCCAUUAGCUCAGCUGGUAGAGCACGCGCCUUUUAAGCGUGGGGUCGAUGGUUCGAGCCCAUCAUGGCCCACCA
rnacentral:tRNA from 1 species